GUCACUCGAAGCCACGCCACCCGCGGCCGAUUCACCCGAAGCCGCGCCACCCGUGGCCGGUCCUCUCGAAGCCGCGCCACCCCCGGCUGAUCCGCCCGAAGCCGCGCCACCCGCGGCCAAUUCGUCGAUGCCCAUGCCGAGCCGCCGCCCAUGACUCUGCUCGUGAUCUCGGCCGAUCCGUCGACGCCCGCGCGCCGUCGUCGACUUUGAUGGCUCGAACCCGAGGAGUUCCCUCUGAUGCCGCGUCGCUCCACCUCGAAGGCCGCAGCCCCGUCGAUGCCGCGCCGCUGCCAUGGCCCUUCACCGCUGCAGAGCGUCGCCGUCACGGCCCUCCUCCGUCGUGGUCUCAGAUCCGCGGCUCCACUGUCAGGUCACAGCCCCAGCGGAGCUCCGUCAUCAACAAAGCUCGCCAGCUGCUCGACGGCGAUCCUGAGAGAGAGAGCGAUGCUCUCCUCUCAAACGGAUUCCGCCCGCCAAGUGCUCAAUGUGCCCGGAGUCCGCCCACCAACCGCUCGACGGCGAACCUGAGAGAGAGAGCGGUGCUCUCCUCUCAAACGGGUUCCGCCCGCCAAGCGCUCGAUGUGCCCGGAGUCCGCCCACCAACCGCUCGACGGCGAACCUGAGAGAGAGAGCGGUGCUCUCCUCUCAAAUGAAGUCAAGUCCGCCAACCGCUCCGACGACGAAUCCGAGAGAGAGAGCGGUGCUCUCCUCUCAAACAAAGUUCGCCCGCUAAUUGCUCGGUGGCGAAUCAUAAAGAGAGCGAUGCUCUCAUUUACCGACCAAUCAUUCGACGAAAUACUUCGUCGUCGACGUGCUAAUCAAACCGCUCGAUGGAAUGCCGAGAUGAACAUCGAUGGUGCUUUUUGCAAAAUAUCACCAAAAAGAGAGAUCACUCUAAAAGAGAGAGAGAGCUUUGACAAAAUCACAUUAGACGCUUCAAAUUAAAUUGAAAUUUAAUUUGUUGUUCAAAUCCAG
rnacentral:lncRNA from 1 species